UCUCGCGAGGUUUCAUGCAGGAAGUGAAGCGGCGUGGAUUCAGGUUUCCUGCACGCGCAUAACAGACUCAUGGCGGGGAGACUGAAGAAACAAGCCAAGGAUGCUGUAAAGAUCAUUGGAUGUGGCGGUGCCCUGUUCUUCGGGUACCUCACGGCAUCCGGAGACGAGCAUUUUUACGCGAAUGCUCUGAUGCCUGUGCUGCAAAGACUUGUGGGAGCGGAGACGGCUCAUGACAUGGCUGUGCGGUCAAUUGGCCUUGGUCUUGUGCCUCGGAACCGUUACAAGGACCCAGCAUCAUUGGAGGUUAACGUGUUGGGUCAAAGGUUCCAGAACCCGGUUGGGAUAGCAGCAGGCUUUGACAAGCAUGGCGAGGCAGUGGAUGGGCUUUAUAAACUUGGCUUUGGUUUUGUUGAGGUGGGAACAGUAACUCCAAAACCACAGGAAGGAAACCAGAAACCACGUGUGUUUAGACUGGAGUCAGACCAAGCGGUCAUUAACAGAUAUGGAUUCAACAGUUGCGGCCUUUCUGCUGUGCAUGACAGACUGAAAGCCAGAGAACUCACGCAGUCAGCGCUGACGGCAGCAGGUAAACCUCUCGGCAUCAAUCUCGGCAAGAACAAGAUUUCCACAGAUGCGGUGGCAGAUUAUGUGGAGGGGGUGCGGACGCUGGGCCCACUCGCUGACUAUCUGGUGGUCAACGUGAGCAGCCCUAAUACUCCUGGCCUUAGGAACCUACAGGGCAAGGAACAACUGCGCCACCUUCUGGACAAGGUGUUGAAAGAGCGAGAUUCUCUGCCGUGUAAGAAGCGUCCACCGGUCCUGGUGAAAAUCGCCCCUGAUCUUACUUCACAGGACAAAAAAGACAUCGCCGAGGUCAUCAUGGAGGUUGGUAUUGAUGGCUUAAUGGUUUCCAACACCACUGUUUCCAGACCUGAGACUUUAGAAGACCCCAACAAACUUGAGAUCGGAGGACUCAGCGGUCAGCCUCUCAAAGAAAUGUCCACGCAGAUGGUGCGAGAGAUGUACUCCUUGACCCAAGUCUGUAGGAAAGAUACCCAUCGUUGGUGUCGGCGGGGUGGCCAGUGGGCAGGAUGCUCUGGAUAAGAUCCGUGCCGGAGCAUGUUUGGUUCAGCUUUACACCGCUCUGGUGUAUCAGGGUCCACCUAUUGUCAACAAGAUCAAAAGAGAACUGGACGAUCUUUUGAAAACACAAGGGUUUACGUCUGUAUUUGAGGCAGUAGGCGCUGAUCACAGACCAGCUGAGGUGACGGCACAUAAGCAGACUCAAGAGAAAGCGACACAUAGUGCCUGACCUCAGAACGGUUUGCAUUUAACUCUUUCCACACGGGUGGAAGAACUGUACAUUUAUCUACCUCCACAAUAGAGGAAUCACCAGGAAAUUAAUUGCAUUUCAGAUAUGUUAUGGUGACUUGUUGGUAUGUUGAAUGAAAUCUUGGCAAAUGUUGCUGAGUCAAGUCCUUCAGUUAAAGGGAUGUAACGAUUUAAAUAAAACAUUUACAUGACUUUGGUGUGUAUAUAUAUAUAUAUAUAUAUAUAUAUAUAUAUAUAUAUAUAUAUAUAAUCCUUAAUCGAAAAGGAUUGUUUCUUGAGCUAAAUUGCGUUUACAAAGAGGUGGGGAUAAUAGUUAUUGUUAAAACAUGAUUCUCAAACCAACCGUUGUUUGCGUAUAUUAUCUCACAAGGCUUUUUUAAUGAAAGCAUCUUACAGUUUGAUGAAUACAUUAUUCAAAUAAAGACAUGAUCAAAGAAAAACCCUCAACGUGUUGACUGGUCUACAUUUUCUAAAGACAUUUUCAAUGCAGUUUGCAUUUUUUUCUAAUUCACAUGGUUUCAAAGCACCAUCACAGAAUAUAAAAAAUAACAUCAGUUUUAUUUAAAGUUCCAGUGAAAUAAAAAAUGACAAUGCCUAUUAUUUCAUGAAAUAUUGCUGUGUUUAUUGUAAAUGGUUUAUCAAUGUGGGUCAUAAUAUUUUUACAUUUGUGUGCCCUUAUAAUCUUUAGUUAAGAUCUGAUAAUGUACUUCCUUCCUGUUAUAUCCAUCUUAAAUGAUGUGUGUUAGACGGCUUGGGAGGAGCAUCCUUUAACUCCUCCCUUCCAACUGUCAGUCUGCUUUCAGUCAUAUUACAAAAUGCAACGGCUGUUUUUAUAUAUCCAAUCAAAUCGCAAAGAAAGAUUAAAGCCACCCCCACUAUUUUUCUCU